rnacentral:lncRNA from 1 species
UGACAACAUUAGUAACACAAGUAGCAGUUAAUGUUUCUGCAGCACUUAUUGUCAUUAAUUCUUACAAAUAUCCUGACAUUGUCUGAGAGAGCAGGCCUGCGUCUCUCAUGGUUCUUCCAGCCUCAGGAUCCCUCUUUAAUUUCCUUCAUGGGCAUUUCCCCUCAAUAACCUGACAUCUAAUUCCAUGUUGGCACCUGCUCCUCAGAGGGCCCAUUCUAAUCCAGUUAUGGUAUACGGGAGUAUAAUGCAGGAGCGUGUAGGCGAAAUUGUGGUCAUUGGGUGGCCGAGAUUAAGUGCCCAAGAGAACAAAAGUCUCAG